GAUGAACGCUGACAGCAUGCUUAACACAGAAUAACGGUAUGGGUGGCGGACGGGUGCGUAACGCGUAAAGAACUUACAUCACCGUCAGGGACAACAUUUGGACACGAAUGCUAAUCUCUUAUACUGUGAGAGAGCUUUUCGUCGCAUUAGCUAGUAGGAGAGGUAACGGCUCACCCAGGCGAUGAUGGGUAGCCGGCCUGAGAGGGUGAUCGGCCACAGGGGAACGGAGUAACGGCCCUUACUCAUACGUGAGGCAGCAGUGGGGAAUAUUGGACAAUGGGCCAAAGUCGGAUACAGCAAUUCGGUGUGCAGGAUGAAUUUGUCGGAAUGGAAAGUGCAUUCAGUGGGGAAUCGGUACCAACAGAAGAAGUAACGGCUAAAUCCGUGCCAGCAGCCGCGGUAAUUC
rnacentral:rRNA from 1 species